GGCUCUAUAGUGUAGUAGUUAGCACAUGUGCUUUACAUGCAGAAGGUCUUGGAUUCACGCCCCAAGUGGAGCCA
rfam:Pteropus alecto contig98093, whole genome shotgun sequence.